UCACUCUGGGCUCGUAGCGAAUACCAUUGCAAGUGAGGCGCCUAUAUAAAGGUUUCAUGAAAGAGUCUAAGAAACAGGUGAGGGUCCUUUUGAGGCUCUUCCUGUACCCACUAUCCAUCUGCAGGCUAUGUUGUCUCUUAUCUGACUGUUACCUAGACAGCAUCUCUUCACAGCACCUCCCAAGGCCAAACAUCAAACUAUUUUGUUUUCCUGCAAGGGAAGAUUGGAACUUCUGUGGUACUUUGUCCUUUCAACUCUGCCUAACCAGACCAUCAAAUUAAAAACCUAUACAUUCAAGCUAAAACAAAUGGGAUCAUAGUCCCGAAUUCUAUAUAACUUUCCAACUUUAUUUAAAAUUUUCCUUCCAAUUGAAACAAAGUGAAGCAUUAUAAAGAAGCUGAAAGCUUGCAGCAAUUCAGCAUUCGGAUUUUCUGGGUAGACAUGUCAUCCAUCAUCUGGGAAAGUGGUAAACCUGGCAAUCAUGAUCACCUAAGUUCUUCCCAUAAUGAUCAGACCAUCACCAGACUUCAAGCAAAUUAGUUGUCUUGUACAAGUCAAUAAAUUCCGAAUGACAUUUAUGAGGAAAAAAACAACUUCCGUGGAACAUCUCCUGCUCAGUGAAAACAAGAGAUUGAGUACUCAGUAGAUGCAUGAGAGACAUGAAAAAAGCCAAUUGGCCACACAGAUAAACAUUCAGCACAAGCAAACUAACAAUAUCACACAGCAGUUAUUGCAUGUGGGAGGGACAAGUAGGGAAGGAAAUGUUCCUCUGCCACUGCUGUUGAUGGUGUGCCAACAUCUGAACAUCAUUAUUUUAUUUAUGUAUUUAUCGCCGCCCCCCCAAAGAUGAGAAAUAUUUUGCUUUCAGGAUAAUGUAGUAGACUGUAAGAUUUUCAUGGGUAUUUUUGUAAAUAAUCCAUAGCAAAACACUCCUUAUGACCAACAGAGAAUUGAUAUCAUGUUUGCUGUUGUCUUAGCCAUAAAUUCAAAAUCUGAACCUGACUCACAGGAUGUUUCUUAAGGGGUGGGGUAAGACUGGAAAAAAAAAUCUCAACACAAAUACACAUACAUCUAUUACUGCCCUAACACAUUACAAUAUAUAUUUUAAAAAGUUACACAUUGUAUAUCAUGCAUUAAUUGGUACUGGAAAUGUAAUGUUUAAUAAUCUGUACAAGGCCAUCUGAAUAUUAAAUUAAACGAAUCUCA